rnacentral:rRNA from 1 species
GCAGUCGAGCGAAUGGAUUAAGAGCUUGCUCUUAUGAAGUUAGCGGCGGACGGGUGAGUAACACGUGGGUAACCUGCCCAUAAGACUGGGAUAACUCCGGGAAACCGGGGCUAAUACCGGAUAACAUUUUGAACCGCAUGGUUCGAAAUUGAAAGGCGGCUUCGGCUGUCACUUAUGGAUGGACCCGCGUCGCAUUAGCUAGUUGGUGAGGUAACGGCUCACCAAGGCAACGAUGCGUAGCCGACCUGAGAGGGUGAUCGGCCACACUGGGACUGAGACACGGCCCAGACUCCUACGGGAGGCAGCAGUAGGGAAUCUUCCGCAAUGGACGAAAGUCUGACGGAGCAACGCCGCGUGAGUGAUGAAGGCUUUCGGGUCGUAAAACUCUGUUGUUAGGGAAGAACAAGUGCUAGUUGAAUAAGCUGGCACCUUGACGGUACCUAACCAGAAAGCCACGGCUAACUACGUGCCAGCAGCCGCGGUAAUACGUAGGUGGCAAGCGUUAUCCGGAAUUAUUGGGCGUAAAGCGCGCGCAGGUGGUUUCUUAAGUCUGAUGUGAAAGCCCACGGCUCAACCGUGGAGGGUCAUUGGAAACUGGGAGACUUGAGUGCAGAAGAGGAAAGUGGAAAUUCCAUGUGUAGCGGUGAAAUGCGUAGAGAUAUGGAGGAACACCAGUGGCGAAGGCGACUUUCUGGUCUGUAACUGACACUGAGGCGCGAAAGCGUGGGGAGCAAACAGGAU